rnacentral:snoRNA from 1 species
ACCCUCCUAUUUCCUCUCACAUCAAAUCUGAACAGUUCUCUUGGUCAUAAAAAGAGGGACAGUAGCACUGAAGCUGACCUCUCAGGGCUCAUAGUCUGCCAUGUAGCACAGGGGCUAGUUUCAAACACAU